AGUUAACGGCGUAGGGUACAGAGGUAAGAUGUUCUAUCUUUCAGACCUUUUGUUUCACGUUAUUGGAUUUGGCUGAUUCAGCCGCCCUGGCCAUUUGGCCAGGGCGUUUUUUA
rfam:Photobacterium marinum strain AK15 contig45, whole genome shotgun sequence.